CCCGGCCGGUGUCCGAAGCCUUGUCGAGGCGGGUGGGCUGAGUACAGCUCCGGCUGGAAGCCAAUUCGGA
rnacentral:ribozyme from 1 species